rnacentral:lncRNA from 1 species
CACACUCUACUUGUCUACUUGGCUUCUGCUGGGGACAUGGGCAUGGUCACACCUGGCUCCGUCUCCGGGAGCCCCUGUCCAGGUGCAGCAUUGACGACACGCACAACGUUGCGCUGCCAGCGCCACCAUCCAGGGGCGCGUUUUGAAAGCAGAAACCUAACCGCUCCGCGCCCGCGGGAAUGGCUGUUUAAAACCGGAAAACAACAAAGGUCAGCAGGGAUGUGGAAAAACAGGAACCCUCGUGCACUGUCGGUAGAAACGUGAAGCGGUGCAGCCACCGUGGAAACCCGUUCGGUGGUUCCUCGGAAAGCCACGUGGCCCUGCAAUCCCCCUUCUAGGUCCAUUCCCCCAAGAACCGAAAGCAGCUCUCCCGCAGAGGUUUGCCCCCAGGGUCAGAGCAGCAUUAUUCACUGCAGGAGGCGGAAGCAGCCGAGCCCGGCAACCGUGAAUGGACAGACAAAAUACCGUCUAUCCAGGUACCUGGCUAUUAUGCAGCCAUAAGGAGGAGUGACGUGCUGAUGCAGGCGUCAGCAUAGAUGAAACCUCCACCGUGUGGAGGAAGAUCCGCCAGACACAAAAGGACAGCUAUCAGGUCAGCUGACAGCGAGGUGAAAGUCAACCACCACACCAGGGAGCCGAGAGCCUACAGCUGCCAGCAGGAGAACCGCAUCCAUCAGCCCUGUGGGAGCUAAGCCCCCUCUCCAUAUAGAGGUGGAGUGGACCUCACCAUCCCAGGGCCCACGGGAUGGAGGAAUAAAAUAUGCAUUAGAGUGGACUUACUGAUCUUCUGCUACGGAACUAGUGUGACCCGUAAAGGAAGGAAUUAGCAUUGAGGUGGAGAAAGUGGCCACGGCAGUUGCUGAGGGCAGGGAGAGGAAGGGGGAGAUGUGAUGUGGGGGCAUUUUCGGGACUUGGAGUUGUCCUCAAUGAUAGUGCAGGGACAGAAACUGGACACUGUAUGUCCCGUGAUAGCCCACUGAGCGUACUGGGGGAGAGUGUAAGCUACGAUGUAAACUAUUGUCCAUGUGGUGCAGCAGUGCUCCAGGGUGCGUUCACCAAAUGCA